GGCGGAGUGGCCGAGUGGCUCAGGCAAGGGACUGCAAAUCCCUCUACACGGGUUCAAUUCCCGUCUCCGCUU
rnacentral:tRNA from 1 species